rnacentral:rRNA from 1 species
UGGGGAAUAUUGCACAAUGGGCGAAAGCCUGAUGCAGCAACGCCGCGUGAGUGAUGAAGGCCUUCGGGUUGUAAAGCUCUGUCUUCUGGGACGAUAAUGACGGUACCAGAGAAGGAAGCCACGGCUAACUACGUGCCAGCAGCCGCGGUAAUACGUAGGGGGCAAGCGUUGUCCGGAUUUACUGGGUGUAAAGGGUGCUCAGGCGGAUUUGUAAGUCAGAGGUGAAAUCUUACAGCUUAACUGUGAAACUGCCUUUGAUACUGCAAGCCUAGAGUAUGGAAGAGAGUGAUGGAAUAUCUGGUGUAGCAGUGAAAUGCGUAGAUAUCAGAUAGAACACCAAUGGCGAAGGCAGUCACUUGGUCCAUUACUGACGCUAAAGCACGAAAGCGUGGGUAGCAAACA